GAUGAACGCUGGCGGCGUGCUUAACACAUGCAAGUCGAGCGAAGCACUUAACUUUGAUUCUUUCGGGAUGAAGAGUUCUGUGACUGAGCGGCGGACGGGUGAGUAACGCGUGGGUAACCUGCCUCAUACAGGGGGAUAACAGUUAGAAAUGGCUGCUAAUACCGCAUAAGACCACAGCACCGCAUGGUGCAGGGGUAAAAACUCCGGUGGUAUGGGAUGGACCCGCGUCUGAUUAGCUGGUUGGUGGGGUAACGGCCUACCAAGGCGACGAUCAGUAGCCGGCCUGAGAGGGUGACCGGCCACAUUGGGACUGAGACACGGCCCAAACUCCUACGGGAGGCAGCAGUGGGGAAUAUUGCACAAUGGGGGAAACCCUGAUGCAGCGACGCCGCGUGAGCGAAGAAGUAUUUCGGUAUGUAAAGCUCUAUCAGCAGGGAAGAAAAUGACGGUACCUGACUAAGAAGCCCCGGCUAACUUCGUGCCAGCCGCCGCAGUAA
rnacentral:rRNA from 1 species